UGAGACCGUCAUAACUACAAGUUCACCGACAUCCCAUUGAAACGUGUGUUAAACUUAAUACACACAUUUCAAUGGGAUGUCGUUGGACUUGUACUUAUGACGGUUUCAUGAAACGCUGCCCAGAUCCCCGACACCGAACACCUGGGGAGGUUUCACGAAACCGUCAUUAAGUCUAACUUUUUAGACAUCGUAUUGAAACGUGUGAUAGAGAUCUAACACGUGUUUCUACCAAAUCUCCACGAGCUUAGACUUAUGGCAGUUUCGAGAAACUAGCACUCGCUCUGAAUCUGGCGCAUCCACGGCCACGCUGGAAGCUCGGAUCUGACCGCCUGCGAUGCAUGCCCCGGACGCGACGGCAGCCCGCUCUCGAGCUAACUCUCCAUCGCAUCGUGCAGCUGUCUUUCUUCUCUUUCACGAACACGGUUGCCCGACUGAAACAACUAGACCACAUUAGUAUCCUGACAUCAAGAUAGGUCUCUAUUAUGUGCCCAUCCGUCUGAUUAAGUCUUCUUUGGAGCAAACUGUCAGACAUUUGCGGUAGUAUACAGCUGAAAUGGAAUUUCCGUUCAACCAAACAGUAUACUUCAAGGCUAUUUCUCAGCGACGAGGGUUAGCUCCAGGUAGCAGUAGCAGGCUGGAAGUAACACACAUGUGCAGUGUUUCAGUCGAAAACGAAUACCACCCAUUCAAAAUCGGUUAUAGGAUCUUGUCCAUAUGUCCAUAUUUUUGUAUGCAUGUGAAACAUGGACCAUGACAGCAGACAUUAAAAGAAGGAUACAGGCACUGGAGAUGAAAUGUUUCCGCAAACUCCUCAGUAUCUGGUAUAGAGAUCACAUAACCAACGAGGUAGUGAAAAUCAGAAUUGGAAACACCAUAGGGCCGUAUGAAGACCUCCUGACUUCAGUGAAAAGAUGCAAAGUAAAGUGGUAUGGGUAUGUCACAUGAUCAUUUGGACUGGCCAAGACUAUUCUACAUGGAACAGUACAAGGAGGGAGACGAAAAGGCAGGCAGAGGAAACGAUGGGAAGACAACAUUAACGAGUGACCUUGACUGAAACAUCAUACUUCGUAAAGCCAAGAACCACGAGGAGUGGAGGAAGCUGGUAGUAUAAAUCUUCAGUGGUGCCCCAAGGGUCAGCCAGACUGUGGGAUAGGUGAAGGUGAAGGUGAAGGAAGCUAAGAAUCAGAUAGUUAGACAUUAUAUUGGAUCAUUUAUCCUUUCCUUCAAAAGGAAUGUUGCUUUAUACUGUAGCACAUAAACAAUGCUUUUUAAUUGGCAAUAUUUCAGUUCAGUACGCUUGUUAUUAAUUUCAUCAAACAUUAAAAUGUAAAAGGGAGAAACACUGUCAUUUGAAAAUCAAAAUGUAAGUCAUAAAAUUUCACUGUCUAACUAUCUGAAUCUUGUCAGGAUCCAUGUACGAGUUAGUGCAAUUCUUUUCUCUUCACUACAACCGCAUUGAUUUACUUUAAUAGCAUGUUACUAGGUACAUCAAUUGAUGAGAAAAAGCAGCAAAACGCUUUAAAUUUGUUGUAGUCUUAAAAUUAAAGUUGGAAGUUUCCUAAAAAGGGAAUUUUAGAACACUCCUUCAACUGACAUGCACGGAUGUUAUACUUAUGAAUUUCCAUACAUUAAUGUCUUUGUAAUGCAUGUUACCAAACAAAAAAAAGUAUCAUCAACCAUUCUUGUCAUUUCCUGUGCAAUUAUUUUCACAUCCUGGCUUAACAGUACAUAAACAGUGCUCUUUUAUUUUCAAUAUUUCAGAAAAAUGCAUUUGCAUUAUGAUACAUGCAGGUAUAGUUGGUCAAGUAAGAAUAUAUUUACAGCAUGCUCACUAUGAAUUGAUUAAAUCGCCAUUGAAUCUAAAAGGUAUGUUAUACCUCAUUGUAUAUUCAGAAGGAAAAAGUGUGAGGAUAGCUUUAAAAAAAAAAAAAAAAAUCAUGAGUAUCCAUAAUGAUGUGAAUAUGUACAUGUUUGUUUGUUGCAUAUGAUUCUUCCUUGGUAUCAAAGCUGUAAUAAUUGCAUAUUUAUGAUUCAGCAUAAUACUUUGUUCAUUACAAAAAAAAAUAUGUCAUAAUUUUCCAAAACGGUAGUGUAAAGAAUAAUGUAAGAUUGAGGUAAGAUUGUUACAUAUAUUCUCUAUACGUAUCAACUAAAAUGUAAGUUUUCAAAUGAGAUACUAUUUUGUCCCCAGAUGAAAUAAGUAAUGGAUCUUUUUUGUUAAAUGUCAGCAAAUGAUCUAAAUGAACAUGUGUUCGGGUAUAUCAAAUCUUGUACAUGUAGUUUCUAUAGCUAAUAUAGUUUGGAGGACUUAAAGAUAGAAAAACUGCUGAUUGAUUAAUUACCAUUGUUUGUAUUGUUCACUAUAACCAGCAAGUAAAGGGACAUUUAGUAGAUGCCAAGAAAGUAUUUCCAAAGCAAUUACAUUUCUCUUAUCCUGUAAUGUAUUUUUUGCGUCAAUAAAAGCAAAUGUGAGGGUUGUCCACAUAACAUCACAACUACAGAACAGUUUAAUUGAAAUUAACAUACAUAUUACAUGUAUAUAUGUGUAUUAUGGAAUAACUUAGAAUAUUUCAUAAUUUGUUAUUAUUAUCCAGUUCAUUACAUUUUUACCAAUGUAUUUCUUCAAUAUUUCUACUUUUCCUCAGAGCAUAUGCUGUGAACUAAUGGAUAUUCCUUGUCAGUUCCAUCAUGUUAUGUCAAUGGGCUUACACUGUAUGCGUGUACAUGUCCUUUUUGCAAUGUACAUGUGCUACGAAAAUGUCAACAAUAUUGUUUGAGAUAUAAAAUAUAGAGUUAACAAGUGAAUUAUUCA